GACGAACGCUGGCGGCGUGCCUAAUACAUGCAAGUAGAACGCUGAAGCUUGGUGCUUGCACCGAGCGGAUGAGUUGCGCACGGGUGAGUAACGCGUAGGUAACCUGCCUGGUAGCGGGGGAUAACUAUUGGAAACGAUAGCUAAUACCGCAUAACAGUAGAUAUCGCAUGAUAGCUACUUGAAAGGUGCAAAUGCACCACUACCAGAUGGACCUGCGUGGUAUUAGCUAGUUGGUGAGGUAACGGCUCACCAAGGCAACGAUACAUAGCCGACCUGAGAGGGUGAUCGGCCACACUGGGACUGAGACACGGCCCAGACUCCUACGGGAGGCAGCAGUAGGGAAUCGUGGGCAAUGGACGGAAGUCUGACCGAGCAACGCCGCGUGAGUGAAGAAGGUUUUCGGAUCGUAAAGCUCGGUUGUAAGAGAAGAACGAGUGUGAGAGUGGAAAGUUCACACUGUGACGGUAUCUUACCAGAAAGGGACGGCUAACUACGUG
rnacentral:rRNA from 1 species